GUAUUGAUUGGUGCUUGCAUCAUGAUUUACAUUUGAGUGAGUGGCGAACUGGUGAGUAACACGUGGGAAACCUGCCCAGAAGCGGGGGAUAACACCUGGAAACAGAUGCUAAUACCGCAUAACAACUUGGACCGCAUGGUCCGAGCUUGAAAGAUGGCUUCGGCUAUCACUUUUGGAUGGUCCCGCGGCGUAUUAGCUAGAUGGUGGGGUAACGGCUCACCAUGGCAAUGAUACGUAGCCGACCUGAGAGGGUAAUCGGCCACAUUGGGACUGAGACACGGCCCAAACUCCUACGGGAGGCAGCAGUAGGGAAUCUUCCACAAUGGACGAAAGUCUGAUGGAGCAACGCCGCGUGAGUGAAGAAGGGUUUCGGCUCGUAAAACUCUGUUGUUAAAGAAGAACAUAUCUGAGAGUAACUGUUCAGGUAUUGACGGUAUUUAACCAGAAAGCCACGGCUAACUACGUGCCAGCAGCCGCGGUAAUACGUAGGUGGCAAGCGUUGUCCGGAUUUAUUGGGCGUAAAGCGAGCGCAGGCGGUUUUUUAAGUCUGAUGUGAAAGCCUUCGGCUCAACCGAAGAAGUGCAUCGGAAACUGGGAAACUUGAGUGCAGAAGAGGACAGUGGAACUCCAUGUGUAGCGGUGAAAUGCGUAGAUAUAUGGAAGAACACCAGUGGCGAAGGCGGCUGUCUGGUCUGUAACUGACGCUGAGGCUCGAAAGUAUGGGUAGCAAACAGGAUUAGAUACCCUGGUAGUCCAUACCGUAAACGAUGAAUGCUAAGUGUUGGAGGGUUUCCGCCCUUCAGUGCUGCAGCUAACGCAUUAAGCAUUCCGCCUGGGGAGUACGGCCGCAAGGCUGAAACUCAAAGGAAUUGACGGGGGCCCGCACAAGCGGUGGAGCAUGUGGUUUAAUUCGAAGCUACGCGAAGAACCUUACCAGGUCUUGACAUACUAUGCAAAUCUAAGAGAUUAGACGUUCCCUUCGGGGACAUGGAUACAGGUGGUGCAUGGUUGUCGUCAGCUCGUGUCGUGAGAUGUUGGGUUAAGUCCCGCAACGAGCGCAACCCUUAUUAUCAGUUGCCAGCAUUAAGUUGGGCACUCUGGUGAGACUGCCGGUGACAAACCGGAGGAAGGUGGGGAUGACGUCAAAUCAUCAUGCCCCUUAUGACCUGGGCUACACACGUGCUACAAUGGAUGGUACAACGAGUUGCGAACUCGCGAGAGUAAGCUAAUCUCUUAAAGCCAUUCUCAGUUCGGAUUGUAGGCUGCAACUCGCCUACAUGAAGUCGGAAUCGCUAGUAAUCGCGGAUCAGCAUGCCGCGGUGAAUACGUUCCCGGGCCUUGUACACACCGCCCGUCACACCAUGAGAGUUUGUAACACCCAAAGUCGGUGGGGUAACCUUUUAGGAACCAGCCGCCUAAG
rnacentral:rRNA from 2 species